rnacentral:rRNA from 1 species
CGGUUGAUCCUGCCGGAGGUCACUGCUAUCGGGGUUCGAUUAAGCCAUGCGAGUUGAGAGGGUUAAGACCCUCAGCGGACUGCUCAGUAACACGUGGAUAACCUGCCCUAAGGUGGAGAAUAACCCCGGGAAACUGGGGAUAAUACUCCAUAGACUAGAGCUACUGGAAUGUUCUUUAGUCGAAAGUUGAGGCGCCUUAGGAUGGAUCUGCGGUCGAUUAGGUUGUUGUUGGGGUAACGGCCCAACAAGCCUGUAAUCGAUACGGGUUGUGGGAGCAAGAGCCCGGAGAUGGAAUCUGAGACACGAUUCCAGGCCCUACGGGGCGCAGCAGGCGCGAAAACUUUACAAUGCAGGAAACUGUGAUAAGGGAACCCCGAGUGCCCGUAUACGCGGGCUGUCCAGGUGUUUAAAAAGCAUCUGAAGAAAGGGCCGGGCAAGACCGGUGCCAGCCGCCGCGGUAAUACCGGCGGCUCGAGUGGUGGCCACUAUUAUUGGGCUUAAAGCGUCCGUAGCUGGACCCUUAAGUCUCUUGGGAAAUCCGCCGGCUUAACCGGCGGGCAUCCAGGAGAUACUGAGUGUCUAGGGACCGGGAGAGGUGAGAGGUACUCCGGGGGUAGGAGUGAAAUCCUGUAAUCCCCGGGGGACCACCGAUGGCGAANGCAUCUCACCAGAACGGCUCCGACAGUGAGGGACNAAAGCUGGGGGAGCGAANCNGNAUUANAUACCCGGGUAGUCCCAGCCGUAAACUAUGCGCGUUANGUGUACUGGUGACCAUGAGUCACUNGGGGUGCCNAANNGNAACCGUGAAACGUGCCGCCNGGGAAGUACGGUCGCAAGGCUGAAANUUAAAGNA